GGGCUCGGGAUAAGUAACAAUCUCCUGCUUCACUUCACAAAAUCUGAAAAGCUGCACGAUAUCCUUCUGUGAUUCAGCAACAAAUCGUACUGCAACUUUUUGGUCAGGUUCCAGACCCACCCACAGCACCCUUCCAGAUGAUUUUUACUCAAAAAUCAAACAGUGUUUAAAUAGAUCCUCGCCAUAAUUUGUUUUUCCCCUAUCACAAAAUUAACUAUGUUAGGAUUGAAGUUAGCUGCUAGGAUAAUCAUAAUUGUUGCUAACAGUCUCCUGCAAGAUUAAGUGAGCAAGGAAAAUGAUCCACACACCUCAUUUCUCUGUCACGGCUAUCAUUUUGGCAACACAAAUAUACAGGUGCCAAUCCAGUAAAACAUCUUGCACACCAACAGUUUCGUAAGAUGUCUAAGUGGUCUAAAUGUUGCAAACUGCAUGACCCGAUUCAACUGCACAAACACUCGCAGAACUCAGGCUUUUUUUUAAUAGGCUGCUAAUGUAUAGAUAUCAGGACCAAGAAAGUCCUAAUACACAGUACACAGAAAGAAAUUCCAAACCACAAUUACCGUAUUUCCCUACCUAUUGAAUAUUCUGUUCUAUUAAGAUAUUGCCAUUCUGAUACCAUUAUUUAAACUUGUAAUACUCAGUAAGCUGUUACUCAGAACUCAUGCUCUUUAAAGUGUUUUGUCAUACUCCAGCUUCAUUAAGAUGGGAUUACAACUCCAGAUCUUAUGGCCACAAACAAAACCAGGAAGACUAUAUAAGAGUGCAAAAUAGAAAGCAAACAAAUGUUGCUGCUUGUUUUACCCACUGAUAGCUGCAUCUUGAACUUUUUCUUCAAUGGGGAAUUCACGUCACCACUUCAUGAACUGCUGUUUUGACUCCAGCUCACAGUAGUGACACCACAUCUUGUAACCUGCAGUGAUGCAAUCCAGGAAACUGACACCUUCAGCCUUGUGUUGGUUCUAUAGGUCCUGACAAACUUCCAUACAGUGUUCUUUCUGUUCCUGUGUGAGCAUUCAUGGGACCCACCUGGCACAAACUCUGUGAUAUUCUAAUGUUUCCACCUUUGUUUCCAAUGCAUCAAAGCUGGUAUCAGUUCCAUACACGCACUUCCCUGGUUGUUACCUGCCAACUUACAUGGAUAAGACAACCAAGACACUCUUCAUCUUGUGGUGCAUGGCUGUUCAGAAUGUGGCUUCUCUUUCAUGACAAUGUCACUACCACUUAAAAUGCAACCCCCACCACCCCACUGUGCUCUCAUCCACUGUUUGAUCUCCAUUAACAUGGAGAUGUUGGUAGGUCAAGAUAAUAACCUAGGAGGCAUUAUUUUCUGAGCAGCCCUCAUAUAUGUUUUACUCUGAUAGGAAUUUUAAUGUUACUUUUAUCCUUGCUGAUAUUUGUCAUAAACAGUUACCUCAUAUAAUGCUGCCAAAAUCCCAGGUGGUAAGAACAUUCUUAACAUGGGAGACAAAAUAAAAUUAACUGUGAGUUAGGAAGCCUACAAAUUACAGCCCAAUUAUGUAACCUAUAUUUACAGCAUGUUUAAUCAGAAUUUUAAUUGCUUUUAUAGAUAUUAAUGCUUCAAUAUAUUAACAUAAACAAGCAUGCUUUGUACAACAGCAUUCCUUAUGAGCCAAUCCACAAAGUAAUGCUUUACACAACGGCCUUGUGGAAGUGACUACACUUAAGCCUUCAGUUCUGCAUGCUGAGACAAAUCAUAGGUUACUUUUGACAAUUUUUUCCCUUUUAAGGACAUAUUUAAAGCCAGAUCUAGCCCACAAAUGUAUUUCACAUUGGGCCAAGCAAUGUUAAGAAGAGAAAGACUUUUGAGUAGUUUCUAACUCAAGCUGCAAACAAACCAGCCAGGUAGACUGGAGAGUUGAUGGCUAGAGACUCCGACUCAUCUAUAAAACCUCAUGUUUUAGUCUUGCAGAUAUUAAAAGAUUAAUAGAAGUAUAGUGAAUUAACUGUAUGUUUAGUUUUACAUAUUGAUGUCAGCCUUGAUGACAGUAAGGAUUUGCUGGUUUUAAGUUACUGGAAAAUAUAACAAGGCAGAACAUAUAUACUGCAUUGCCUAACAGAAGAUACUGCUAAAACAGUCAUUUUUCCUUUCAUUAUUGUGCCAAACAAUCACCAAACAAAAUUGUCUUAGCAUAAAACUUGAUUUGAACAGCUGUUUCAACAAUAUAAUACAUAAUACCCACAAGAAUUCUCCUAAAAAAUCAUAGUUUUUCAUUGGAUAAGCUAUAAACAAAUUCAAAUACAGAGAGAUGUGACCUAUCAGUCUGCUCAAAGUGUGAUGUAUUUGUCCAGUGUUAAGAACGUUCCAUUGAUAUUCCUUUAUUUUAAGCCUCUCAGUACAUUCUGGAAUGAAGGAAAAAAAGAAAAGAAAGAGAGAAUGGUGACUUAGAGCUGAAGCCCAGACUAUCACAUGGCCAUGCUUGCCUAAAUUAUAGAUGCUUCAACCAGUUCUAUCUGCAGAGAAACCAGGUGGUUCAGGAGCACUGUGGCAAGAGAUGGACUGUAUGAAGGGCAAGCGCUUAUGACUAUUAGAUUAGGUAAUCCCAAGACCCCAGAACAUAUCCCUGAGCAGCUUUUCCACAUAUCCAGGUCACAAAGGAGAGGCAGUAAAUCCCGAUAAUCUACAGAGGUGGCACAGCAUGGGCAGAUCAGUAAGUACCAACUCCUUAACUAUAAAAAGGCACACCCCAACCCAGCACAUGAAAGAGGCCACAAAGAUCCAAGGACUGUGUUCCUUGUUUUAAGCAUCAUCAAAUAAAAUCCUGUAUAUAUAACUUGAACACAUGCGCAUCUUGAUGGCAGUCAGGAAGACAGACUACUUGGUCUCACACUCCUCUUGUGUACUCAAACACCCAGAUGUACAUGUACACACAACCAAAAAAAUUGUUGUAAAACAGAACCAUCUUUUUCCUCCUCUGAGGUCUCCAAAUUUGCUACAUCACUGACAAUUAUGAAACACUUCCUCAGUCUCGAGGAGAAGAAUAAGUUUUGUAGGCUCUGGAUUUGGCUUGGAACUACAGUUAUCAACAAAAGGCUGGCAGUCAUCAAAAAGGCUUAGGAGAGGCGUAAGGAAGAUUUUCCAUAGCAUGCGUUUGAAACCAGAUCUUUCUCUCUCUCACACAAAAAAAACCAAACUCCAAACCAACAACAUAAAAUACAACAACACCAUUCUCAUAAAAAUCCCCAAGUGUUUUGAGCACUAAAGCAUUGAAAUAAACUCCAGCUUAUCAGAGAUACUCUUUCCCGUCUUAUGCUGUCCACAAACAGAUUUCCAGAUCAAAGAAUUGUAGCCUAUGAAUUUCAGCUAGUACUAUUUGUAAGCUCUGUGAUAAGAUCUACCCAUUCCUAAUUAAAACAAAAGGGUAGGUUAACAGAACAACAUUCAGACUCGUCCUUUAAUGUGCUCUUUUACCCUUAUUGAUUUUUUUAACGUUUCUAGUCACCUUGUUUCUUAGACCUAAUGUUAAACUUAAUAUCUUCUAUCUACUGCAAUGUCUUAUGUACAGCUUGUUUUUGAAGAAGUUACUGGUGUUUCCUUCUUGUUAGUUACAGAGAAAAACCUUCUGUUCUGAAUUGCUUCCAAAAAUUAAAGUAUUGUCAAAUCU
rnacentral:lncRNA from 1 species